rnacentral:rRNA from 1 species
CCUACGGGAGGCAGCAGUGGGGAAUCUUAGACAAUGGGCGCAAGCCUGAUCUAGCCAUGCCGCGUGAUCGAUGAAGGCCUUAGGGUUGUAAAGAUCUUUCGUGGGGGAAGAUAAUGACGGUACCCCAAGAAGAAGCCCCGGCUAACUCCGUGCCAGCAGCCGCGGUAAUACGGAGGGGGCUAGCGUUAUUCGGAAUUACUGGGCGUAAAGCGCACGUAGGCGGAUUGGAAAGUCAGAGGUGAAAUCCCAGAGCUCAACUUUGGAACUGCCUUUGAAACUCCCAGUCUUGAGGUCGUGAGAGGUGAGUGGAAUUCCGAGUGUAGAGGUGAAAUUCGUAGAUAUUCGGAGGAACACCAGUGGCGAAGGCGGCUCACUGGCACGAUACUGACGCUGAGGUGCGAAAGCGUGGGGAGCAAGCAGGAUUAGAUACCCUGGUAGUCCACGCCGUAAACGAUGAAUGCCAGUCGUCGGGCAGCAUGCUGUUCGGUGACACACCUAACGGAUUAAGCAUUCCGCCUGGGGAGUACGGCCGCAGGUUAAACUUAAAGAUAUGCGNGNGAGNGCGACGACGACGACGAGGAGGAG